rnacentral:rRNA from 1 species
GACGUAGGGGCGCGAGCGUUGUCCGGAUUUAUUGGGCGUAAAGAGCUCGUAGGCGCUUGUCGCGUCGACUGUGAAAUCCCGCGGCUCAACUGCGGGUCUGCAGUUCGAAUACGGGCAGGCUAGAGUUCGGUAGGGGAGAACUGGAAUUCCUGGUGUAGCGGUGAAAUGCGCAGAUACAGGAGGAACACCGAUGGCGAAGGCAGGUCUCUGGGCAUUAACUGACGCUGAGGAGCGAAAAGCAUGGGGAGGCGAAGAGGA